UAGAAAAGAAAAUAAAGAGUAGUAGAAAGAAAACUGACUUAUGGCGGCGUCAAUGAACAAGUGUAGGUAUUUGUUUCUCAUAUGUGGAAUUUUUUUUAUUGUUACAUGCAUGAGCACUCAAUAUAUAUAUAUAUAUAUAUAUAUAUAUAUAUAUAUAUGUCCUCAGCGGUGGAUCGGGCCCAUGUCCCCUGGAAGGCGGUGCCAGAGAGGGUUAGAGCCCCGUUGUACCCGGACCCUGUCGCACCACGAGGUGAGUCUCUAGUCGGGUUGUUUGGGAAUGCAGCCCAAAUCAGGUGGUGAAUUUCGUCUAAGGCUAAAUACGGGUGAGAGAACAAUAGCGAACAAGUACCGCGAGGGAAAGAUGAAAAAGACUUUGAAAAGAGAGUUAAAGAGUGCUUGAAAUUGUCCGGAGGGAAGCGAAUGGGGGUCAGCAAUGUGCCCUGGUCUGAUAUGGAACUGUGACUAGCCGGUUUGCCAAUUGACUCGUGGCGUGGACCAGCGUGGAUUAGGGGGUGGCUAAAGUUUGGGCUCUUGAUGCUCCCGUGAAACAUCGUCUCCUUGAUUGUGGUAGGCAGUGCGUGCCUCUGGCAUGUUUAGGCAUCUGCACGCUCUGGAUGCUGGCCUGUGGGCUCCCCAUUCCGCUCGUUUUGAAACAUGAAUCAAGGAUUCUGACAUGUAUGCGAGUCAAUGGGCGAGUAAACCCGUAAGGCAAAAAGAAAUUGAUUGGUGGGAUCCCCCUCAUGGGUGCACCGCCGACCGACCUUGAUCUUCUGAGAAGGUUUCAAGUGUGAGCAUACCUGUCAGGACCCAAAAAGAUAGUGAACUAUGCCUAAGCUUUUUAAAACUAGAGGAAUCUCUGGUGGAGGCCCGCAACGAUACUGACAUGCAAAUCGUUCGUCUGACUUGGGUAAAAGACUAAUCGAACCGUUUAGUAGUUGGUUCCCUUCGAAAUUUCCCUAAGGACAGGCCGAUAUCACGUGCAAGUUCUAUUGGGUAAAGCCAAUGAUUAGAGGCCUCUGGGCCCAACGUCCUUGACCUACUCUCAAACUUUAAAUAGGUAGGACGGUGCGACUGCUUUGUUGAGCCAUGCCACAGAAUCAAAAGCUCCAAGUGGGCCAUUUUUGGUAACCAGAACUGGUGAUGUGGUAUGAAUCGGAAGCCGGGUUACAGUGCCAAACUGUGCGUUAACCUAAAUCCGCUAAGGAGUGUGUAACAACUGACCUGCCAAAUCAACUUGUCUCAAAAAUAGAUGGCGCUUAACCGUGCGAACUACACCCGACCGUUGGGGAAAGUGCUAGGCCCCAAUGAUUUGGAGGGUGCGGCGGUCGCUGCAAAACCUUGGGCAUGAUCCUUAGCUGAGCAGCCGUCUGUGCAGAUCUUGGUGGCAGUAGAAAAUAUUCAAAUGAGAACUUUGAAGGAUGAAGAGGGGAAAGGUUCCAUGUGAAUGACACUUACACAUGGGUUAGUUGAUCCUAAGGGUCAGGGGAACCCUGCCAGAUAGCGUGUUUCGCGCGUACUUAGAAAGGGAGCCAGGUUAAAAUUCCUGAAUCGGGACGUGGCGGUUGACGACAACGUUAGAAGGUACAGAGAUAUUGGUUGUAGCCUCGGGAAGAGUUGUCUUUUUUGUGUAAUAGACUACCCACCCUGGAAUAGGCUCAGCCAGAGGUAGGGUCUAGCGGCUGUAAGAGCACUGCAUAUCGCGUGGUGUUUGAUGCACUCCCGGCAGCCCCUGAAAAUCCGGAGGACCGAAUUUUGUCCAAGCCCAGUCGUACUCAAAACCGCAUCAGGUCUCCAAGGUUAACAGACUCUGGUUGAUGGAACAAUGUAGGCAAGGAAAGUCGGCAAAAUUGAUUUGUAACGUUGGGAAAAGGAUUGGCUUUGAGGGAUGGCAAUGGGGGUCCCAGUCUCGAACCCAUCGGCUGUUGAUAGACUGCUCGAGCUGCUCUCGCGGUGGGAGAGGGUCACCACGUUCCGGUUGAGGGAUGGACUAGGAACGGUUCCUUUGGGGGGCUUCCCUAAGCGUAGAACAGCCAACUCAGAACUGGUACAAAAAAGGGGAAUCCGAUUUAUUAAUUAAAACAAAUCAUUGCGAUAGUCGCAACAGAUGUUUAUGCAAUGUCAUUUUGGCGCAGUGCUCUGAAGGACAAAGUGUAGAAAUUCACCAAGCGCGGGUAAACAACGGGAGUAAAUAUGACUCUCUUAAGGUAGCCAAAUGUCUCGUCAUAUAAUUAGUGAUGCACAUGCAUGGAUUAACAAGAUUCCCGUUAUCGCUGUCUACUAUCCAUGAAAACCACAUACAAGGGAACGGGCUUGCCAAAAUCAGCAGGGAAAGAAGACCUUGUUGAGCUUUACUCUAGUCCAACUUUGUGAAAAUACUUGAGAGGUGUAGUAUAAGUGGGAAUUGAAAGGCGAAAGUGAAAUACCGCUACUUUUAACGUUAUUUCACUUAUUCCGUGAAUCGGAAGUUGGGCACUGUCCCUCUUUUUGGACCCACGGCUCGCUUCGCAGGCCAAUCUGGGCGGAAGACAUUGUCAGGUGGGGAGUUUGGCUGGGGCAGCACAUCUGUUAAAAGAUAACGCACAUGUCCUAAGAUGUGCUCAACGAGAACAUAAAUCUCGUGUGAAACAGAAGGGCAAAAGCUCAUUUGAUCCUGAUUUCCAGUACGAAUACGAACCGUGAAAGCGUGGCCUAAUGAUUCUUCAGACCUUCGGAAUUCAAAGCUAGAGGUGUCAGAAAAGUUACUACAGGGAUAACUGGCUUGUGGCAGCCAAUCGUUCAUAGGGACGUUGCUUUAUGAUCCUUCGAUGUCGGCACUUCCUAUCAUUGUGAAGAAGAAUUCACCAAGUGUUGGAUUGUUCACCCACCAAUAGGGAACAUGAGCUGAGUUUAGACCGUCAUAAGACAAGUUACCACAGGGAUAACUAGCUUGUGGCAGCCAAGCAUUCAUAGCGACGUUUCUUUUUUA
rnacentral:rRNA from 1 species